UACGUAGGGGGCAAGCGUUGUCCGGAUUUAUUGGGCGUAAAGAGCGUGUAGGCGGCUUGGUAGGUCCGCUGUGAAAACUCGAGGCUCAACCUCGAGAUGUCGGCGGAAACCACUUGGCUAGAGUCCGGAAGAGGAGAGUGGAAUUCCUGGUGUAGCGGUGAAAUGCGCAGAUAUCAGGAGGAACACCUGAGGUGAAGGCGGGUUGCUGGGCUGACACUGACGCUGAGGCGCGAAAGCCAGGGGAGCAAACGGG
rnacentral:rRNA from 1 species